AGUGAACGCUGGCGGUAGGCCUAACACAUGCAAGUCGAACGGCAGCACAGUAAGAGCUUGCUCUUACGGGUGGCGAGUGGCGGACGGGUGAGGAAUACAUCGGCAUCUACUUUUUCGUGGGGGAUAACGUAGGGAAACUUACGCUAAUACCGCAUACGACCUACGGGUGGAAGCAGGGGAUCUUCGGACCUUGCGCGAUUGAAUGAGCCGAUGUCGGAUUAGCUAGUUGGCGGGGUAAAGGCCCACCAAGGCGACGAUCCGUAGCUGGUCUGAGAGGAUGAUCAGCCACACUGGAACUGAGACACGGUCCAGACUCCUACGGGAGGCAGCAGUGGGGAAUAUUGGACAAUGGGCGCAAGCCUGAUCCAGCCAUACCGCGUGGGUGAAGAAGGCCUUCGGGUUGUAAAGCCCUUUUGUUGGGAAAGAAAAGCAGCAGGUUAAUACCCCGCUGUUCUGACGGUACCCAAAGAAUAAGCACCGGCUAACUUCGUG
rnacentral:rRNA from 1 species